GGGGGGGGGGGGUGCCGUGGAUGCCAUCAGCCAGGUUGUCAAGUGUUUGUCUUGCUUCUUCCACGAGGGUUCCUCUCAUUUGGCAGCCUUAAUUAUGGACGUCAAAGAGGCCGUUGAGCAAGAAAACCAAGCCGUUUGUGCGAUGACCCAGACUGCCCUAUGGCACGCUCGCGACGAGAGGGAACGACUGGAGCAAGAGUUGAGGAGGGUAGGACUUGCAUUGGAGGAGGGUAGCAAGAAAACUAAGAAGCUAGCCGCCGUCAGAAGAGGCUAAAGGAGAAGUUGAGAGGGAAGAUGCCCAGGGGAUGAGGGGUGCCAUGUGGAUGCCAUCAGCCAGGUUGACAAGUGUUUGUCCUGCUUCUUCCACGAGGGUUCCUCUCAUUUGGCAGCCUUAAUUAUGGACGUCAAAGAGGCCGUUGAGCAAGAAAACCAAGCCGUUUGUGCGAUGACCCAGACUGCCCUAUGGCACGCUCGCGACGAGAGGGAACGACUGGAGCAAGAGUUGAGGAGGGUAGGACUUGCAUUGGAGGAGGGUAGCAAGAAAACUAAGAAGCUAGCCGCCGUCAGAAGAGGCUAAAGGAGAAGUUGAGAGGGAAGAUGCCCAGGGGAUGAGGGGUGCCAUGUGG